GAUGAACGCUAGCUACAGGCUUAACACAUGCAAGUCGCGGGGCAGCAUGGGGGUUGCUUGCAAUCCCCGAUGGCGACCGGCGCACGGGUGAGUAACGCGUAUCCAGCCUGCCCUUCACCACGGGAUAACCCGGCGAAAGUCGGACUAAUACCGUAUGUUGUCCAUUGACGGCAUCCGAUUUGGACGAAAGGCUUGGCGGUGAGGGAUGGGGAUGCGUCCGAUUAGCCAGACGGCGGGGUAACGGCCCACCGUGGCUACGAUCGGUAGGGGUUCUGAGAGGAAGGUCCCCCACACUGGAACUGAGACACGGUCCAGACUCCUACGGGAGGCAGCAGUGAGGAAUAUUGGUCAAUGGGCGUAAGCCUGAACCAGCCAAGUAGCGUGCAGGAUGACGGCCCUAUGGGUUGUAAACUGCUUUUAUGCGGGGAUAAAGUGGCCCACGUGUGGGCUUUUGCAGGUACCGCAUGAAUAAGGACCGGCUAAUUCCGUG
rnacentral:rRNA from 1 species